rnacentral:rRNA from 1 species
UACGUAGGGUGCGAGCGUUGUCCGGAAUUAUUGGGCGUAAAGGGCUCGUAGGCGGUUUGUCGCGUCGGGAGUGAAAACACCGGGCUUAACUCGGUGCUUGCUUUCGAUACGGGCAGACUUGAGGCAUGCAGGGGAGAACGGAAUUCCUGGUGUAGCGGUGAAAUGCGCAGAUAUCAGGAGGAACACCGGUGGCGAAGGCGGUUCUCUGGGCAUGUUCUGACGCUGAGGCGCGAAGGCGCGGGGAGCGAACGGG